CCUACGGGUGGCUGCAGUGAGGAAUAUUGGUCAAUGGACGCAAGUCUGAACCAGCCAUGCCGCGUGAAGGAAGACGGCCCUAUGAGUUGUAAACUGCUUUUGUAUGGGGAUAAAUCUCAGUAUGUAUACUGUGUUGUAAGUAUCUUACGAAUAAGGAUCGGCUAACUCCGUGCCAGCAGCCGCGGUAAUACGGAGGAUUCCAGCGUUAUCCGGAUUUAUUGGGUUUAAAGGGUGCGUAGGCGGGUUCUUAAGUCAGUGGUGAAAACUCGGGGCUCAACCCCAAAACUGCGUUUGAUACUGGGGGUCUUGAGUGUAGUAGAGGUAGGCGGAAUGCGUGGUGUAGCGGUGAAAUGCAUAGAUAUC
rnacentral:rRNA from 1 species